GGGGCAUUAGCUCAGUUGGUAGAGCACUCGGCUUUUAACCGAUUGGUCGUAGGUUCGAGUCCUACAUGCCCCACCA
rnacentral:tRNA from 1 species